GCCUAUGUCAUAGAAUCACAGAAUGGUUGUGCUUAAAGGGAACUAAAGCUCCCCAAGCACCACCCCUGCCAUGGGCAGGUUGCCCCCCACUGGCUCAGGCUGCCUGACUUCCCAUCCACAGUCUUGAGCACCUCUAGAGAUGGGGUAACUACAGCUCUCUGGGCAGCAGUGCUAGGGCCUCAGAGCCUUGGAUGUGUCUGGAGUGUUGCAGAACAGAGAAAGCAUCUGGAGCUAUAGCAGCUGAAGUAGAAAGUUGUUUUCUGUUUACAAUAUGACUUUCUGCUCAUAAGAAUGUCCUUUAAGUGUGUGGUUGGAAAUGAGAAAACAAAUACAGUAAGCAGAACCCAUGUUGUUUCACUGCAGAAGGAAAGGUGCACCUGGAAAGAUUGCUGUGAGGAGAUGGUGAAACAAAUGCUGGACCUUGGCAAACAAAAUACACAUGCGGUGUCUUCUGAUGGGGGCUUUGCUGCAGAGCUCAAAGAUCCUCAGAAGUCCUUUGACAGAGGAACGGAACGAGAACCAUCUCUGAGAAGCCUGAUUGGACUGUUCCUCUUUUCUAUUCUGGGUCGCUUUUACUUCAUAAUUAAUCCUCCACGCAUCUUUUUUCUUUGGGUGGGGGAAGCCCUGAGCCGACCCCUUACUCAGAUGCGUUCAUCUGAACACCACACCAUUCCUGCCGCAAAUCAAAUAAAUAAAAAGAAUAGAGGUGCCCAAGCUGCAGUUUGGUGAGAGUUCCUGACUGUUGGAUUUGGGCUGCCGGCGAUAAGAAGGGGUGCGCAGAACCGCAUGGGCCGAGGUGGCUUGGGGGAGUUAAUCACGGUGUUAUUUUACACAUCUACAACACUUUUAUUGUGUAGUAACUCAUGAGUUAUGGGUCCUCUGCAAUUGCAAAAUAAAUCCUUUAAUUAACCACCUAGUCAGAAACAAUUUAACCUCCUCAGUGUAUCUCAUAAACUACAUUAGCCCCAGAUUUAUUUAGAAUAGUGUUGUGCAAGUGUGAUCUAUUUGUAUUAAGAAUAUGCCCUCUGUUAUGUCAAACGUAGUGGGACAAGGAAACAAAUCUGGUUUGUAUGCUUUCAUCCAUGGCUUUUAAUGAUUUUACUGAGUUCCUCAAAUAGAAGCAAAUGUGUUUUUGCACUGAGCAGUACGUGAAAACAUGUGGACAGAACGAUAGCCACUUCACUUGCACAGAUAGCUUCAAGUCUCACUGCUUCUUGUUAAGGUCUGUUUUACAGACAACAGUGUUUGAGAAACCUUACUCUCCUACGACGUCCAGUAAAAGUCAAACCAUGCAGUUACAUGCUGACAAGCAGUGAUUCUGUUUCUUGAAUGCUGAAGAGUUUGUUUCUGUCUUUCAACAGAGGUGUGAACACACAGCCAGUCGGUGUAAUAAAUCUUACCGGCUGCCAGAAAUAGAGCAUGCUUUGUGGUAUGUGAGUUUCAGAACAUUAAAGAGGUUCAAGAGAGUUCCUCUUCUAAUGUAACCAAGUAGAAAAGCCGACAAAAAUAAGAAGUCAUAAAUGAGUCUGAAUGAGGUGCCAAAAGCACUAAUGAAUGUGUACGGAGUAACCAGCCUUGUGACUGACAAAGCCCUUCAGUGGCUGCACUGAUCGAUGGACCUUUUUGCUUUUUGGAUGUGAUUCAUUCCCAUCCACAGGUUCUCAGUGCCUCUCUAGAUCAUGGCUGCAUGGAUGUUGCUGCUUGCACUGUGUUUGGUAACAGCAACAAGCACUGAUUGUAUUUGUAAGUUGUCUCACAGUUAUUUCCAUUAUUAACAGAUCUUUGCAAAGGUGGUGUUCCCUAAAAUAUAUUUUCUCUGAAUGUGUUUAGAUGGUAAAAGAAAUAGUGCUUAUGUAGAGGAGAGACUCUUAACUAUCACGUUAUCUUCUUUGGGGUCUGUGUAUCUCUCAGGGCGCUCAUUUUGUACCACAGUGACAGGCAGUGCUGUUGGAUCGCAGUGAGUUUGGGUGGUCAGUGCCUGCAGAGGCUGCUUGGAGGCACCUGGUGUCCUGCAGCAAAAAUAACCAUGCAGUGUACAGGAGCAGCAGUUGCUGGAAGCAGGACAAGACAUCACACAGCUGUUUCUCCAACAAGUAUAUAUUAAAAAAGUAAACCUACUGUAUUAUUCAAGCUCUGGCCUGUGAGAAAGGCAGAUAGAAGGUUUUCAGUUGAUGGUUUUUUUUUUUUUUUGCAGGAUCUAAAGCUCACAUUCUGUCACAAAAUGGUUGACAAACCUAGUUAGCAGGAAUUAAAAACUGCCACCAAGUUCUGGGGAGAGGCAGGCUAAUGACAUCAGGGCUGGCCCUCCAAUUGCUCUGUUAGCAGAUGAUAGAUGAAUGCACGCCUCACUCCACAGCGCCACCAGCCUUGCUCCAUUCUUGAAUAUCUGUCAAGAUGUUAAGUGGACGACUGCAAUCAGCAGUGAAAUAAGACCUGUGUAAUCUGAUGUUCCACUUAGAAAAGAAAACAAAAUUCCUACCACCUAAUAUGAGACUACACCAGUCAACACACAAAGGCCUUUCAAGGAGGCUAGGUAUCUGAUAAAAUCUUUACACCUCAUUAUCAUUUGUAAUUUAGAGAUAUGGGUACAGCUGUAUCUACAAACAGUGCAUGAUGACAUUUCCAGGGAUUUUUCUGUGGCUGUUUCCAGCGAACAGCUCUUUAUUCAUGUUGUACUUUUAUAUUCCUUCUAACGUGUUUUUAUUUAAACUUUAUCUAGCUGGGAAGGGUAGGCGGCUGCCUAUUAAAAUUGUCCCUUCGGUAAGGGGUGUGCGUAGAUUAGCAAUAAGGACAGCCUUCUAGUUCUCUACGACAGAAGUUUGGUUUUGGUUAAUUCAAUUUGUAGUCAAGUUGUUCUCUACAAGAUGAUAAGAAAUGGAGGUAUUGCCUUUAGGUUUAGAAAAAAAUUCCACCUCUUAUGGAGAGCCUGAGAGAAGCAGCAACGAUAUGAAUGUUAAGUAAAGUUCAGUUUUCAGUAUCUAGGACAUGACAGCCCAGAAACAAUAUCAAGCUUUGUUACUGUUGAAUCUGACCCUUCCUGAUUGCUUUCACCCACAUAGUUUGGAUUACAGAGGAUAUUAGUGAUGUAAUUGAAUGCACAGCAGCUUGCUGUGAGAAGACAGUCAGCUGUAUAAGCACAUUUGCUUCCUCAGCGUUAUAACAGAGGUUUGUAGGAUGGAUGCUGAGGCCUGAGAGUGCACCCAGAGGGCUGAUUGAACAUUUCAGCAGAAAACACUGAAUGAAUUAAAAAUGCUCAUACAGCUCAGUCCUAAGCACAGCAUACUACUUGCUAACUCAGUGGUGCAAAGCUGGCUUCCACCCUUGAUUGCUCUGAUGCAGACCUUGGGGGUGCUACUGAGAUGGAGCACUCUGUAUGUCCAGGAGCAUGUUCCUGCUGCACCUUUGCUGCAUGGCUCCAUCUCCCACUUUGUGCCUGAACUCCUUUCCAAAGGAGAAGGGUGGUUUAUGUCCAGGACUUAUCCCAGAAAGCAGCUGGAGCACAGGCAGGGCACACCGUGGGGAUCAGCUGUGGGAGGCACAGUGGAGCUUACCAUCAGCACAGCUUCCAGGAGCAGCGCUUUGCUUUGUGCUCUCAGCAUAGUGCUGGAUGGUGUGCCUGAUGUUUUGUACAGGUCAGCAGCUUAUUGUCACUGUGACACGUUGCCCUGGAGCACUGAUGUUACUCCAUAGUUCUCUGGAACGCAGAAUUCCUCCUCUUUCCUGCUCCGAGUCCAAAGGGCUAUAUCCUGCAGGUACGAGGUAGGUCUCCUUAUGUGAAAUGAGUUUGAGUUCAGGAUCCUGGCUCCAACCAGUCCAGUCACUCGUGCACUGCAUGCACCCAAGCUCCCUUGGGCUGGCCCUGUCUUCCCACCAGGUGCUCCAUCACUGCUUCAGCCUGCGAUUUCACAUUUCUGCUACACCUUGUAAACCUACACAUAGCUUGAUCUGUAAAGUCAGGCUUAAUGGUUAAGGAGAAAUAAUCUUGUGACUGAUAGCCAACUAUAAUUUCUAAUAGUCAUGAAAUGUUAAGCGGGACCAGACAUUCUGAAAUAGAUUUAACUGCUUUUUUGGCUUUGUGCUUUUCUACUCUCCCAGUGUGAGCGACUGAAAUUUUAGGAUUAUG